rnacentral:rRNA from 1 species
ACGCUCGACACCUACGGGAGCAGCAGUGGGGAAUAUUGCACAAUGGAGGAAACUCUGAUGCAGCGAUGCCGCGUGAGGGAAGAAGGUUUUCGGAUUGUAAACCUCUGUCUUUGGGGACGAUAAUGACGGUACCCAAGGAGGAAGCUCCGGCUAACUACGUGCUAGCAGCCGCAGUAAUCUGAGCGGGCUGGCAAGGC